UACGUAGGGCGCAAGCGUUGUCCGGAAUUAUUGGGCGUAAAGAGCUCGUAGGCGGUCUGUUACGUCCGCUGUGAAAACCCAGGGCUUAACCCUGGGCUUGCAGUGGAUACGGGUAGACUAGAGGCAGGUAGGGGAGAAUGGAAUUCCCGGUGUAGCGGUGAAAUGCGCAGAUAUCGGGAGGAACACCAGUGGCGAAGGCGACUACCUGGCCUGUUCUUGACGCUGAGGCGCGAAAGCUAGGGGAGCAAACGGG
rnacentral:rRNA from 1 species